rnacentral:lncRNA from 1 species
UUUCUCGCUUCAUCCGCCAUCUUCCUCUGUGUUCGCUAUGGCGUCUUGUACUUCUACCCAACGUUGCCCCUCAGCCCCCCAGCCCCCGAGCUCACUGCCCUCGGCCCGCAUCUCCGGAUGCUUCCUCCGGGACUGCGGGAUACGGAGCCUGCCGCCUAGGAACCCGAUUUCUCCGUCUCGUCCAUGGAAGCACGGGUCAUAGUGGCCGCAUGCGCAGUGCUAACUCAGCGGCCCGCGCCUUUUGACCGCUGUUGUGGUGGAGAUUGUGGUGAGGAAGGAGACCAGAAGAUGACGACGACAAUGACACAGCAGAAGGGCCGGGUAAGCUCCGUUUAGUUACCUGGGGAGACCUGAGGCAUGUUUCCAAGGGCUGUGGCUGCCUGU